GAAGGGGCAAGGAGGCCAACAUCCCUAGCUGACAGGUGACAGCCGCCUGCUCCAGAACUGCCUGUUGUCGCCUUUGAAACAAACUUGGAGCUCCUCUGGCCGCCACUCGGCUCCUCCCUAACCCCAGUCCGGCAGGCAGCGGCUUCUAGAACCCUCUAGCCCUCUCAAACACUUCCUGCUCCUCGCCAACUCCGGCUGAUGGAGCCGGGCGACCAGGCCGCUCACUUACCACAGCGCCCGCCCCUUGGGGGCCGUUCGGGGUCGUAUCCGCCAUGGGAGACACUCGGGAGCCCGGGACGCUGCAACAGCAAAGAAGAGCAAAACGUCAGUGCGGGGCGACGACCCUCCGACCUGCUUUCAGAGCCGGCAGGAACCCCAAACCCCCGGAGGAACGGGCCCUCCCGGACGCGUGCAGCACACAGCCGCAGAAGUCCCCCUAUGGCGGCCCGGUAAUACCUGCCCCGCUCGGUCCAGACCGAAGCUGCCUUUCUAGAAAGACCCAAGCGAAGGCGGAGCUUCGGAGAAAGGCCUUAAAGGGCCGAUCGACGCCGCCGGUUCCCGGGGUUGCAAAACCGGAAGUGAUCCUUUCGUUUCCACGUGAGUCAGGCGGGACGUUGAGAGUCACCGGGCGUGGUUUCCGGAGGCAUGACGGGAAAUGCAGUUUUUCUCCUUGUUUUGGUUCCACCUUCCCUACGAGCCAAUUGGCACGGAAAUGUUAAGUAAAACCACCGAGGCAACUUUCGUCUUAACCGGCACUCAGGCGAUUUUCCUCGCUGGCUUCCGAACCUCAAAAAUCUCUCUACUUCCAUAUACAGAAGCUUCAGAAAUAUCUAUGAUCUCUCCAGAUAGCGAUUCACCAAACCCUGUGAUUUAGUUUUCUUAUUUCAAGCACUAGUGAAACCGGCUAUGUGACAGACGCUUGG
rnacentral:lncRNA from 1 species